rnacentral:rRNA from 1 species
AGUGAACGCUGGCGGUAGGCCUAACACAUGCAAGUCGAACGGCAGCACAGUAAGAGCUUGCUCUUACGGGUGGCGAGUGGCGGACGGGUGAGGAAUACAUCGGAAUCUACUUUUUCGUGGGGGAUAACGUAGGGAAACUUACGCUAAUACCGCACACGACCUACGGGUGAAAGCAGGGGAUCUUCGGACCUUGCGCGAUUGAAUGAGCCGAUGUCGGAUUGGCUAGUUGGCGGGGUAAGGGCCCACCAAGGCGACGAUCCGUAGCUGGUCUGAGAGGAUGAUCAGCCACACGGGAACUGAGACACGGUCCAGACUCCUACGGGAGGCAGCAGUGGGGAAUAUUGGACAGUGGGCGCAAGCCUGAUCCAGCCAUACCGCGUGGGUGGAGAAGGCCUUCGGGUUGGAAAGCCCUUUUGUUGGGAAAGAAAAGCAGCAGGUUAAUACCCCGCUGUUCUGACGGUACCCAAAGAAUAAGCACCGGCUAACUUCGUG